GUACUUGCUUUGGCAGCACAUGUCCUAUAACUGGAACAGUACAGAGACAAUUAGCAUGGCCUUUGCACAAGGAUAACAUGCAAGUUUGGGAAGCGUUCCAUGUUUAA